GCCACCUCCGGUGCUGCAGGAUGUUCUCCCUUACUGGCCACAGUGGAUUUUCAUUUUGACAUUGGAAGUAAUUUGGCUCUGCCUGACCUUUCUGUUACCCGUGCCAGAUUGCCCCAGGGGCUACCUCGGUCCUGGGGGCAUUGGCGAUUUUGGGAAGUAUCCUAACUGCACCGGAGGGGCAGCUGGUUACAUCGACCGGUUGCUUCUUGGAGAAAAACACAUAUAUCAACAUCCCUCGUCAAGUGUGCUUUACCAAACAAAGAUGCCGUAUGACCCUGAAGGCAUCCUGGGAACAAUAAACUCUGCUGUGAUGGCAUUUCUGGGACUGCAGG